CUACGGGAGGCAGCAGUGGGGAAUAUUGGACAAUGGGGGGAACCCUGAUCCAGCCAUGCCGCGUGUGUGAAGAAGGCCUUUUGGUUGUAAAGCACUUUAAGCGAGGAGGAGGUACUCUAGUUAAUACCUAGGGAUAGUGACGUACUCGCAGAGAGACCAUCCA
rnacentral:rRNA from 1 species